CCCUUCUCAGGAUUGCACCUGGAGAGUUUCCAGAACUCUACCAGUCUCGGCUACAGGAGGGAGACUGGAACAGAGGCCUACCCAUUCCAUUCCUAGCUCGGGUAGUGGGUAGCUAGUGGAAGUCAAUCUGCUACAAGU
rfam:Ornithorhynchus anatinus chromosome 1, whole genome shotgun sequence.